rnacentral:lncRNA from 1 species
UUUCCAAGCUUCCACUUCUCAGCCCAUGAUCUGCAAGAAAACCAACUACAAGAGCACUCAAGAAAAUGGGUUAGUGGGUUAGUUAAGAAGUUAGAAAAAUAUCCACAAUUAAACCCACUAAGCACUACUUAGCCCACUAAGUCAUAACACUUAGCCCAUUAAGUCAUAACUAAAAUUUAGUUUGAAAGUAAGAGAGUUAAAAACACUUUUGUGGAAAACCCACGUGUUUCAA